CCUAACCAGACCCAAAGGGGGAGCCCGUCCUCCAGGGGGCAGCAGAGGGAGCCCUAACCCUAACCAGACCCAAAGGGGGAGCCCAUCCUCCAGGGGGCAGCAGAGGGAGCCCUAACCCUAACCAGACCCAAAGGGGGAGCCCGUCCUCCAGGGGGCAGCAGAGGGAGCCCUAACCCUAACCAGACCCAAAGGGGGAG